UAGGGAAUCUUCCACAAUGGACGCAAGUCUGAUGGAGCAACGCCGCGUGAGUGAAGAAGGCUUUCGGGUCGUAAAACUCUGUUAUUGAAGAAGAACGUGUGUGACAGUAACUGGUCAUGCAGUGACGGUAUUCAAUCAGAAAGUCACGGCUAACUACGUGCCAGCAGCCGCGGUAAUACGUAGGUGGCAAGCGUUGUCCGGAUUUAUUGGGCGUAAAGCGAGUGCAGGCGGUCUUUUAAGUCUGAUGUGAAAGCCUUCGGCUUAACCGAAGAAGGGCAUCGGAAACUGGGAGACUUGAGUGCAGAAGAGGAGAGUGGAACUCCAUGUGUAGCGGUGAAAUGCGUAGAUAUAUGGAAGAACACCAGUGGCGAAGGCGGCUCUCUGGUCUGCAACUGACGCUGAGGCUCGAAAGCAUGGGUAGCGAACAGGAUUAGAUACCCUGGUAGUCCAUGC
rnacentral:rRNA from 1 species